rnacentral:rRNA from 1 species
AGAUCGUAGGCUGCAACUCGCCUACGUGAAGGAGGAAUCGCUAGUAAUCGCAGGUCAGCAUACUGCGGUGAAUACGUUCCCGGGCCUUGUACACACCGCCCGUCACACCAUGGAAGUUGGCCAUGCCCGAAGUCGUUACUCCAACCCUUGUGGAGGAGGACGCCGAAGGUGGGGCUGAUGACUGGGGUGAAGUCGUAACAAGGUAGCCGUACCGGAAGGUGCGGCUGGAUCACCUCCUAA